GUACUUGCUGUGGCAGCACAUAUACUAAAAAUUGGAAUAAUACAGAGAAGAUUAGCAUAGCUCUUCUGUGCAAGGAUGACCUGCAAAUUUGUGAAGCAUCCCAUAUUGAA
rnacentral:snRNA from 1 species